ensembl:lncRNA
GUAUUUGUCUUUCCGGAGGCAGGGUGGGACAGACACAGGUGUGCGGCUUUGGAGCCGACCACUGUUAAACAUACCUGGGUUUCAACCCCAGGUCUGUCCCAUUAGCUGGGAGUGAGCAUAUGACUUAGCCUUCCUGGGCAUCAGUUUCUCUUAUCGGAAAAAUGGGUAUGAUCAACUCACUGCUCCGGGCUGGGACAAGAGCCUCCUGAUUCUGGCCUGGAAAAGUCAUAAUUUGGGGACCGACAACCUGGCUUCUCGCCUACCAUCUGACUGGGAUCCAGUCUCUUCACGUCAGCAUCUUGCCACUUUCACUCUCUGGGGUCAUCUGGGAACCUCAGCGAAUGGAAGGAACCUCCACAUCACUAACUGAGUUCCUACUGUGUGCCUGACACCCUGCCAAUCACAUCACAGCAUCAGGAGUGGGGAGGAUCUGCAAGAUGCCGCUCUAGGGGCAACGUGUCUCAAGCCUCUUCUCCUGGCUGCUAACACCACGGGUCGCAUGGGAAACACUAAUCCAGACCAACUGGGUCCUGUAAUGGGAGAAACUGAGGCCCAGCAAGAGGAAAUUCUCAGCCACAGUCUGUCCUCAUCUAGAGCUUGAGUCUCCUGUUGAGCUCACAGAGGGUCAAUGU